UGAGUGUUAUGAUGAUGGAACUGAAAAGUUCUUAGUCUAGCUCUGGUCUACCGCUAGGAUUUUUCCUAGCGG
rfam:Streptococcus gallolyticus strain ICDDRB-NRC-S1, complete genome.